UUACGGCCAUAUCAUGUUGAAACACCGAUCCGGUACAAUCACUGAAGUUAAGCAACGUUGAGCCUGGUCAGUAAGUAGAUGGGUGACCGCCUGGGAAUAUCACGUGCUGUAAG